GACGAACGCUGGCGGCGUGCCUAAUACAUGCAAGUAGAACGCUGAAGGAGGAGCUUGCUUCUCUGGAUGAGUUGCGAACGGGUGAGUAACGCGUAGGUAACCUGCCUGGUAGCGGGGGAUAACUAUUGGAAACGAUAGCUAAUACCGCAUAACAGUAGAUAUCGCAUGAUAUCUACUUGAAAGGUGCAAUUGCAUCCCUACCAGAUGGACCUGCGUUGUAUUAGCUAGUUGGUGGGGUAACGGCUCACCAAGGCGACGAUACAUAGCCGACCUGAGAGGGUGGUCGGCCACACUGGGACUGAGACACGGCCCAGACUCCUACGGGAGGCAGCAGUAGGGAAUCUUCGGCAAUGGACGGAAGUCUGACCGAGCAACGCCGCGGGAGUGAAGAAGGUUUUCGGAUCGUAAAGCUCUGUUGUAAGAGAAGAACGAGUGUGAGAGUGGAAAGUUCACACUGUGACGGUAUCUGACCAGAAAGGGACGGCUAACUACGUG
rnacentral:rRNA from 1 species